rnacentral:rRNA from 1 species
AGUUUGAUCCUGGCUCAGGAUGAACGCUAGCUACAGGCUUAACACAUGCAAGUCGAGGGGCAGCAUGGUCUUAGCUUGCUAAGGCCGAUGGCGACCGGCGCACGGGUGAGUAACACGUAUCCAACCUGCCGUCUACUCUUGGACAGCCUUCUGAAAGGAAGAUUAAUACAAGAUGGCAUCAUGAGUUCACAUGUUCACAUGGUUAAAGGUAUUCCGGUAGACGAUGGGGAUGCGUUCCAUUAGAUAGUAGGCGGGGUAACGGCCCACCUAGUCUUCGAUGGAUAGGGGUCCUGAGAGGAAGGUCCCCCACAUUGGAACUGAGACACGGUCCAAACUCCUACGGGAGGCAGCAGUGAGGAAUAUUGGUCAAUGGGCGAGAGCCUGAACCAGCCAAGUAGCGUGAAGGAUGACUGCCCUAUGGGUUGUAAACUUCUUUUAUAAAGGAAUAAAGUCGGGUAUGGAUACCCGUUUGCAUGUACUUUAUGAAUAAGGAUCGGCUAACUCCGUGCCAGCAGCCGCGGUAAUACGGAGGAUCCGAGCGUUAUCCGGAUUUAUUGGGUUUAAAGGGAGCGUAGAUGGAUGUUUAAGUCAGUUGUGAAAGUUUGCGGCUCAACCGUAAAAUUGCAGUUGAUACUGGAUAUCUUGAGUGCAGUUGAGGCAGGCGGAAUUCGUGGUGUAGCGGUGAAAUGCUUAGAUAUCACGAAGAACUCCGAUUGCGAAGGCAGCCUGCUAAGCUGCAACUGACAUUGAGGCUCGAAAGUGUGGGUAUCAAACAGGAUUAGAUACCCUGGUAGUCCACACGGUAAACGAUGAAUACUCGCUGUUUGCGAUAUACUGCAAGCGGCCAAGCGAAAGCGUUAAGUAUUCCACCUGGGGAGUACGCCGGCAACGGUGAAACUCAAAGGAAUUGACGGGGGCCCGCACAAGCGGAGGAACAUGUGGUUUAAUUCGAUGAUACGCGAGGAACCUUACCCGGGCUUAAAUUGCAGAUGAAUUACGGUGAAAGCCGUAAGCCGCAAGGCAUCUGUGAAGGUGCUGCAUGGUUGUCGUCAGCUCGUGCCGUGAGGUGUCGGCUUAAGUGCCAUAACGAGCGCAACCCUUGUUGUCAGUUACUAACAGGUUCCGCUGAGGACUCUGACAAGACUGCCGUCGUAAGAUGUGAGGAAGGUGG